GGGCCGUUAGCUCAGUAGGUAGAGCACCUGCCUUUUAAGCAGGGAGCCGCUGGUUCGAUCCCAGCACGGCCCACCA
rnacentral:tRNA from 3 species